AUGGGACGAGGCAGAGUUUUGAGUUACUUUGCUCUCGCAAUGUUCAUUCAAUAUUCCUGCAGUCAGACACUGAUUGAGUCUGAUUCAGUGAUCAUCAAACCUGAUCAGUCUCAUAACCUGACCUGCACAGCUUCUGGAUUUGACUUUGGGAGCUCAUGGAUGGCUUGGAUCAGACAGGCUCCUGGAAAAGGGCUGGAAUUUGUUGCAACUAUCGAGGAUGAUAGUGACAGGAAGUUUUUCUCCAGUGCAGUUAAUGGCCGCUUCACCAUCUCCAGAGACAACAGUAAGAAGCAGGUGUAUCUGCACAUGAACAGCGUGAGGACAGAAGACACUGUCGAGUAUUACUGCGCUCGACACACAGUGAUACUUCUCCUAAGACAGCAGUAA